rnacentral:rRNA from 1 species
CCCAACUAUCCCUAUUAAUCAUUACGUCAAUCCUAGAAACCAACAAAAUAGGAUCGAACGUCCUAUUUCAUUAUUCCAUGCUAAUGUAUUCAAGCGUUAGCCUGCUUUAAACACUCUAAUUUUUUCAAAGUAACAGUCCUGUUUCCCCGCAACACCAAAUUAAUGGCAUUACGGUUCAUCAGGAAGGAGGAACCAGUAAGACCAGUGCAUACCAGAGGCACGACCAGCCUACUAACCCCGAAAUUCAACUA